AGCGAACGCUGGCGGCAGGCUUAACACAUGCAAGUCGAACGGGCUUCUUCGGAAGUCAGUGGCAGACGGGUGAGUAACACGUGGGAGCGUGCCCUUCGGUUCGGAAUAACUCAGGGAAACUUGAGCUAAUACCGGAUACGCCCUUUUGGGGAAAGGUUUACUGCCGAAGGAUCGGCCCGCGUCUGAUUAGCUUGUUGGUGGGGUAACGGCCUACCAAGGCGACGAUCAGUAGCUGGUCUGAGAGGAUGAUCAGCCACACUGGGACUGAGACACGGCCCAGACUCCUACGGGAGGCAGCAGUGGGGAAUAUUGGACAAUGGGCGCAAGCCUGAUCCAGCCAUGCCGCGUGAGUGAUGAAGGCCUUAGGGUUGUAAAGCUCUUUUGUCCGGGACGAUAAUGACGGUACCGGAAGAAUAAGCCCCGGCUAACUUCGUG
rnacentral:rRNA from 1 species